rnacentral:rRNA from 1 species
GAGGGGGUUAGCGUUGUUCGGAAUUACUGGGCGUAAAGCGCACGUAGGCGGAUCAGAAAGUUAGGGGUGAAAUCCCAGGGCUCAACCCUGGAACUGCCUCUAAAACUCCUGGUCUUGAGUUCGAGAGAGGUGAGUGGAAUUCCGAGUGUAGAGGUGAAAUUCGUAGAUAUUCGGAGGAACACCAGUGGCGAAGGCGCCUUUCUGGACUGUGUCUGACGCUGAGAUGCGAAAGCCAGGGUAGCGAACGGGAUUAGAUACCCCGGUAGUCCUGGCCGUAAACGAUGGGUACUAGGUGUAGGAGGUAUCGACCCCUUCUGUGCCGGAGUUAACGCAAUAAGUACCCCGCCUGGGGAGUACGUCCGCAAGGAUGAAACUCAAAGGAAUUGACGGG